rnacentral:rRNA from 1 species
GACGUAGGGCGCGAGCGUUGUCCGGAUUUAUUGGGCGUAAAGCGCACGUAGGCGGCUUUGCAAGUCGGAUGUGAAAUCCCUCGGCUUAACCAAGGAAGUGCAUCCGAAACUGCAGAGCUUGAGUACUUAAGAGGAUCGCGGAAUUCCCGGUGUAGAGGUGAAAUUCGUAGAUAUCGGAAGGAACACCAGUGGCGAAAGCGGCUUCCUGGUCCAGCACCGACGUUCAGGCACGAAAGCGUGGGGAGCAAACAGG